AGCCUCCCAAAGUGCUGGAUUACAGGGUGAGCCACAGCGCCCUGCCUUAGCACUAUUUUCUUAAUAUUCUACAAGAAACUACACACACAUUUCUCAAGUUUUUAAUAGCAAAUACCUGGUGUCAGCAGUUCUACUCGGAAUAACAGCCAAAUUCCCAGGGAAAUCUCUGUUACCAGAGCAGAGUAAAUGACUUGAAUUAGCCUAAACAUAGCUACCAUGCCCUCUAUCAUCCACCAAGAACUCCAAUUUAAGAAUGUCUGUAUUUGUGGAGGUGGAAUAAGUUUCUAGCUUUCAAUUUCAUAAGGAACUGUAUUAGGUCUCUGAAUAGUCUUCAGUGAUUCUCUGCAAUAGUAUUCUGAGAAGCAUAAAAUUUUGUAGGGUAAACCUUUACCCUUUGCACUACAAGUCUGGUGAGGUUGUAACCAGCUUAAAAAUAUGUUUUUGAGGUAUUGAUUUUUACUUGAAGUAUAGCUGAGUACUGAAACUUAAAGACUGCCUCCCAAAAUGUAAUCCACGUAUAAUUAGUCAAGGAUACUCACAGUUCUAUGUUGGCUCAACUCAAACAUGCAAAGAUAUUUAGAAAGUAAUUUAAACAAUAUUUAGAAAGUAACUUAAACAUUUCAUAAUCCUCUCAAAAUAUUAUAAAGAGGGAUCAUAUUUGCAAUGUAUUGCUAAGUUCCUGAAAUCUGUUUCUUCAUCUCUUUUAAAGCAGCUGUUCUCAAAAUAUUUCUCUUUCACUCCAAACUCCCUAAAAAAUCUUCCUUAAGAGAAUACUUUGGGCUCUGCACUCGUUCAGUUCUCCUCUGCUUGCCAGGAUUCAUUGCUUUCUCCUAAUAUUCCCAGGUUCAAAGCAAUAAUGGGCAGGGCCUAAACCUAUUAAUAUUCCCACAUUAACUGUUUUUACAUUAAAAGGUAAUUUUUGCAUCCAAUCUACAGGUGACAAUAUAAACAAUCAGAGAUUAACAUGAGGUUGGACAGUCCUCAUAACUAAUUAAUUAAUGCUAAUAUUACCUGUUUUUAUGUAGAUACGAUGCCAGUAAAUGUUUGAGAAACUUAUAUGUAACAAGCACUGAAUACAGAUUAUCUCACUGAUUUCAAUAUAUUUGGAAAUGCAUAAAUUGAGAUUUACCUAAUUGUGUCACAAAUUCCAGAAAAGUAAUGUUUCUUUUCCUGAUAAAAGACACAAAAUAAACUAGACUGAAUGUGAUGGCUUAUGAUUGGCCUGAAUUAAAGUUAAGCAUAGCUGUGUCGCUCUUAGAUUCCGGGAAGCAAGAUCAGCAUCUGACUCACCCAAGUAAAUUACGUGAAUACAAUCCAAGGAUAUUAUUUACACCUUUCACACUGGAAGGCAAGAGGUAAACAAGUGGUAUCCUAGAGUUACCAAUCAUUUCAUAGAAAAGCUGUGUCGAUGAAAUAAAAUAAUAAAUUAUGAUAGUAACAUAAUUCAGUUGAAUAUGCCUGUGUGUAUGCAUGUGUUUUUGUAAAAGGUUAAGUAGUUACUAAUCCUUCAGUAAAUCCUAUGUUCUACAUGAAAAGUGCUUGUUCUCCGGGAGGUUUAUGUUCCUUGGGCCAAUUCAUAUUUCCAUAAUUCAGGUUGCCUAUAUCUUGUAUUAGGGUAUACAGAUAAAAGGGAAUUUUUCUGUCUCAAAAAGUUAUAGUGGAAUCAUUCAGAAUUUAUCACAUUUAUAUAUUUUACAGGACUGAUAUAUAUAGUAGCUAAUAUAUCAAUGUUGUAAUAUCAUAAGUGAUCAGUAGGUAAUACAUUCUACUUUAAAACUUCAUAUUUGAGGCUUUUAAGUAAAAUACUGUGAAUCAACACCUUACUUUAAGUCUGUAAUUGUGCAAACCAUAGUUACUUAAAAAGAUAGAUCUUUCAUCAGGUACACUUCAGUUUAAUUUCUUCUCUCAAAACUCAUCUAGAAAAGCAAUCAUAUAACAUAUUCUGAAGAAAACUUGUUGAGGAUAGCACUUUAAUUAAAAGUAUUUUCUUUAGGAAAAAGCCUAACAUUGAAGUUCUAACCAACAAUUGUCAUUAUAGAUUCUAAGACCCAGUUUUGUAAGGAGAUUGCCUUAGGAGCCUGGCUAGAUUCCAGGGAUGUAAUGGCAUUACAUCUUCCUAAUUCUUCACAGAAGAUUCAAAUGAAUACAGUUUUAUACCUUGUACUUAAGUAUGAGAUGUUACCAAAAGCAAACAACUAAGAAAGAACUUCUGUGUGUGAAGUGUAUAUUGAUGGAUGGUCAAUAGAUGGUACAUGGAAAUGUCAUUUUUUAUGAAAGGGAUUAACACCAUUUACUACAGCAGCAAACCUUUGAAUGAAACUAUUGUAUACAUUUUAUAUAAAUCAUACAAAAUAGUUGGUCAGAUAAGACAGAUAAUCUAAUAUCAAAACUUGUUAAAUGUUAUGUCAUGUUAUAACAGUGUUCUCUAGUUAGAUCUCCUCAUGAAGCAAGCUCUGUGUACAGGGGAUAUAAUUUAAGAUAAAUAUGGUAAAAUAAGGGAUUAAAAAAUACUAUUAUUCAUAGAAACAGGAAGCAGAUAAUCCUAGGCAGAGAGGGGUAGGUCUCCAGUGAAACCCCACCUUCAAGCCAAAGACAAUUUAAAGCCUGAAAGCCCAGCUACAAGUCACAUCUGCAGACUGGAUUGAGAACCUGUCUUCCUGUUUAGUAUACUUUCUUCUGAUUGAUCCUCACUCUUCACCUGUUUUACAUAUAUCUACCUUUCCCUAAUUGGUGUUUUAAGCUCUCAUGCCCACCUUUGAGUGGUGUCUUUGUUUUAGCCUUUUUGCAUACUCACAAACCAAUUGGCACACACUCCCCUAUUCUGAGCCACAAAAACCCUGGGCUCAGCCACACUUAGAAAGAAUCCACGUGGCUUCAGGUGGGGGACCACCCCCACGUCCCUUCUCUGCUGACAGCUGUCCUGUCACUCAAUAAAAUUAUUUUCCAUCCUCUUUACCCUUCAAUUGUCAGCCUAUCCUCAUUCUUCUUGAAUGUGGGACGAUAACUUGGGAACCCUGGAACUCGGGUACAAGCCAUAACACAGGUGGGCUGGGGUACACCCAGACCAGCCAUGGCCUGAGCCAGUGAACGAGCCAGGCACAGCCCAGACAGGCAGAGUGGGCGAGUAGUCUCCUGAGGCAUGUAGCAUGACCCAGGUGGCAUUGUUGCCAACCAGAGGUCCGUGGCUGAUAAAAUGACUGAGAAAAAUCCUGUGUCACUAUGGAGCACACUGGAUUUGCCAUAUUUAUUUGUGCAAAUUGGCAGACUAAAGAUAACUAUGGCCCACAGGCUAAUCCAGCCCAUAGCUUGUUUUGUAUGCUGCUUGAGAUAACAAUGGUUUUGCAUUUUUAAAGAGUGUAAAAAACAAAGAAGAAUAUUGACUGGAGACAUAUGUGGCCCACAAAUACUGAAAUAUUUAUUAUCUAGCCCUGUACAAAAAAAAUGCUGACACCCAAUUUAAGAUUUUUUUUUUUUUUUCCUUUUGAGAAAGGUCCUAUUUGAGUGGAUUCAUCAUGGCUAAUAUGGGGCAGAAUUACAUAAGUCCUGUUUGAAUCUCCUCUAUAUUCUCAGGUUUAUGGGAUAAUUAAAUGCCUGACACCUCUUUAGCUAAGUCAGGUAAGACCACCUGGAACUCCAGGCUUCAAGCCAGGUCCCUUUAAGCAGAAUAGCCUGGAGCUGGGCUGAAACUGGCAGCCUAAUACUCAGCCCAUUACAUGAUCCACUGGGCUCUGCCACCAUAAACACACAGGUAAAGGCCAGGCACAUUUUCUGCUGCUGCUACUGCUAAACAGAAAAAUACACUUUCUGUAUACCAACCAAGACUUUGGAAAGGUCACCUCAGCCACAAAGUUAGAAGUAGCAUUUUUUUUCCUUGAGCAUCAGACAGAAUAUAUAGACUGUGCUAUCCUCAUAGUCAAUGUCAAAAGGUUAUCUGUUAUGUAUGUUUUUCUUUCCCUCUUUUUCUCCUUUAAGCCAUUCUAUCAUUCAGCUGCUUUCAUUUUUAUUAUAAAAAUAAGGUCCAAUUAAGUUUAGUAAAAUGCAAAAGAAAAAAACAAACCAUUGAGCCCAAAUAAAUAACUUUCAUGCCUGAUAUUAUUUCAUUGAAAGUCUAUGAAUGGCUCUUUGUACACGUUUGGAACAAUUUAUGUCUUUUAUACACAGCUAUGCUAGAGAAGAAAUGCUUUCCUCUUCUCAGCUCUUUUAGGCACAUCACAUGAUGCUCUUCCAUGGGAAAUAAAGUUGAUCACAUUAUUUCUAACUUCAGUGACCCCUUAACAACAUCAAGAAUCUUAAAAAGAUAAAGAAAAGUUAUGACACAUUACAUCAUCUGUCAGACAAGCUGCUUGAGUCUCAAUUCAGUAAUCAUCACCGGAAAAGAGAAGAAUGAUGCUUUUGAUCAAAGCAAGUCAAGAAAGGUUGUGUCCUCCUCCUCACACUUUUUUGGAAAGCAAUCCUAUUCAAAUUUAAAAGUGAAGCCACUUUCUCCCUCCCUAACAGUAUUGAAACCUAAGAAACAAGAGCACAGCCUUAAAAGCUAUUACUCUGCAGCUAGUACAAAAGGAGAGGGAUUUGCAUUAGAACAAGUGUUAAGAGUUGAGCUUCAGGCAAGGUAAGAUCAUUAUUUAUAACAAGCUGAUCUGCUUCUAUAUGAUUAACAGAAAAACAGUGAAUUAAUGUUGUUAUCUUAAUAUUGUUUAAAUGGCCUCUAGAUGUGGUAUGAAGCCAUGCCAGGGAGAGUGGUUAACACAAAAUAAAUGUGAAUUCAAGAGAGGGUUCUGGGAAACAUUUUCACCUGGUGUAUGCUUAAUUAAUGACCUUGAAAUCAUAAGCUCUCAUAAGCCUCUGGUGUAUGGUCUUAUUUUAUUUGGGGAGACGGGACACAGCCUGAUUUAAUGGGAUUUUCUUCAGAGACUGGUAAAACUGUUUUAUAGGACAUCUAGGCUAUUUUUUCAAGAAAGAAAGUGAAGACAUGCCCCUAUUGCAAUGAAAAUCAGAAAAACGAUGCUUGCAAAAUGUCCAAAGAAAAGUGCUGAGUGUUUGCUACAUGUGAGUCAUACGCACUCACUUAUGGUCAUGCAUUUAUUUUGAAGUCUGAAGGGUAAGGAGAAAGGACUUGCCCUUAAGCAGAAAAUGUUUGUACUUUCUGUGGUGUGUGUGUUUGUGUAUGUGUCCCACCAGUCAUUUAUUGUCUUUCUUUCACAAAUUGGUGGUGACAAUGAUUACAGCAAAAGGCAACUGAGAAUCCUAUCCUUCCACAGAUUUCUAUAAAAGUUGGAUAUUCUUUUGCCUUGAGUUCAUUAACUAAUGAAAAUUCUAUUUAUUUCAACUUCCAACAAAAGUUUUAUGUCUUUUAUGUGCAAGACAAGGUCAGUCUUUUUUUUUAAUUACUCAAUUAUUCACUUAUUCCUUCAUUCAUUAAACAUUUAGGGAAACACUGUUUCUCCUCCAUUUCUCUAAUUAUAGUUAAACUUAUAAAUAAGCAAUACUUUGAUCGAAAUAAAAACUAAGUGCCAUGAGAACAUCUAUAAAAAUAAGUAGAUGAUUUACGUGACCACCAGUUUGUGGUCCAUCUCUCUAUUCAGAGAGUAAGUCAGGAUGCUACUACAAUAGUCUAUCAAUAAGAAUUAAACUUCAGGGAUAGCAGUGGAAGUGCAACAUACCUGGUGCCACAUAUUGCACCAGGUGUGUUUGGUGUGCUGAGCUUACCUGAUCCUCCUGUCUUUAAUCUCUGCUGCUGAAUAUAUGGACCUAGAUGGCCAAUACCACACUUCUGUACCUCAUGGGACAGGAUUAAAGUGGGUAACUGAAUAAGAGUAAGAGAGUCCAUCCAGAGGCUGAGCCUUGCCAAAUAGUUACUUUUUCAUGUUACAGAAUUUGAAGGUAAAGAGGUAAAGAG